UAACCGGUAGGAUCAGGUGUUAACCGGUAGGAUCAGGUGUUAACCGGUAGGAUCAGGUGUUAACCGGUAGGAUCAGGUGUUAACCGGUAGGAUCAGGUGUUUAACCUGUAGGAUCAGGUGUUUAACCGGUAGGAUCAGGUGUUAACCGGUAGGAUCAGGUGUUAACCUGUAGGAUCAGGUGUUUAACCUGUAGGAUCAGGUGUUUAACCUGUAGGAUCAGGUGUUAACCGGUAGGAUCAGGUGUCUAACCUGUAGGAUCAGGUGUUUAACCUGUAGGAUCAGGUGUUAACCUGUAGGAUCAGGUGUUAACCUGUAGGAUCAGGUGUUUAACCUGUAGGAUCAGGUGUUUAACCGGUAGGAUCAGGUGUUUAACCUGUAGGAUCAGGUGUCUAACCUGUAGGAUCAGGUGUUUAACCUGUAGGAUCAGGUGUUAACCGGUAGGAUCAGGUGUUUAACCGGUAGGAUCAGGUGUUUAACCUGUAGGAUCAGGUGUUUAACCGGUAGGAUCAGGUGUUUAACCGGUAGGAUCAGGUGUUUAACCGGUAGGAUCAGGUGUUAACCUGUAGGAUCAGGUGUUUAACCGGUAGGAUCAGGUGUUUAACCGGUAGGAUCAGGUGUUUAACCGGUAGGAUCAG